rnacentral:misc_RNA from 1 species
UCCUGGUUAACCCAGGCAGUCUCGUUAGAGUACCCACCAUUACGUGCUGGCAAAUAACGACAAGGGUUGCGCUCGUUGCGGGACUUAACCCAACACCUCACGGCACGAGCUGACGACAGCCAUGCAGCACCUGUGUACCCGUCUCUUGCGAGACGUCUACAUCUCUGUAGACUUCAAGUACAUGUCAAGCCCAGGUAAGGUUCUUCGCGUUGCAUCGAAUUAAACCACAUGCUCCACUGCUUGUGCGGGUCCCCGUCAAUUCUUUUGAGUUUCACCCUUGCGAGCGUACUCCCCAGGCGGUAUACUUAUCGCGUUAGCUACGGCACAAUGGGGGUUGAGUCCCAUUACGCCAAGUAUACAUAGUUUAAGGCAAGGACUAC